CUGAUUUUCAUAUGCAGUUCCGAUUGUGUCCUGCAUUGAUGCAUGUGAAAAUUUAGAUCGGCUUUUAACCCAUUCUGAAUUUCAGACUCGAGAGACUUUUUCUGGUGGUUGUUUAUCGAGCUUCAGAAGUUCACCUGGUGCUUCUGAUCUAAGAGCUUAUUUUUUUACACCUGGCUAAUAUCCUUAAAUAUUCAUAUGAUCAUGUUACCUUUGCUUUCCCCUCAUUUUAUCUGCUUCAUUCUUAUUGAACUUUUAUUUUCCUUGGAUCAUACAUGAAGUUCUGGCCUGAGAAUUGAGGCUUCAAGUGCACAACAUUAAAAGGUCAUUAAUUCGUAAAUGGAAUCUCAGAUUGUAGAAGAUAUCCAGCAAGCGGGUUCAAAGCGGAUUCUUAAGUUAAUUUCUUCUUCUUCUUCUUCUUCUUUUCCAGCUAAAAGCAGACCUCAAGAACUGCAGGUUGCGGUAACAGGCGAGAUAGGUUUGCUAUGCUGUGAAACCUGUUCGGAAUCCGUGCAGAGAAGGAUAUUUUCAUAUACAUUCAUUUCGAUGUUGGAAGGUCUUGGUUAUACUGUUCCGUAGAUUGAAAGCAAUCUUGUUCUAACAUUUGCAGCUCAAAAACGUGUGAUGAUGAAUUGACAUAAUCUAUGCUCGGAAACAGUAGACACAUUAGGGUCUUACACCUCAUCAAACAUUCAAAGCCUGAGUAGAAGUCCUGAAAUCUCACAAACAGAAACUUGGGUGAAACACAAUAUAAAAAACUGUGGUUUUAGACGACCUGUUCGCUUGUUUGUAAUUGCAGGAAUGUUGUGCGCAUUGUUGCGGGCACAAUUGAGACGCCUGCAUUUGAUGAGAAAAGUCUUUAACACGACCACCUUGCUGAGGUAUGAGCACCGCGUCACAAACUUCGUAAAGACCUUUCACCAUGCCAAACCACUCAACAGUUCUGGCUUUCUUUGAGCUUUUCAAUAUGGAGUGCAGUCUGGUGUCAAAAGUGGGGAUAAAAAUGAAGAUUUGCAUUUGCAUACUGAUAUAUACAGGACUAAAGUAUCCUCAGCUGAAGACAAAUCCGAGCUCCAUGAAUAGAAGCUUAGGCUUUUGAGGUGUUGAUGAGGAUUCUUCACUAAAUUCAAAACUGUGUUUUAGAUAUAAAUUUCUUUCUAUCUUUUGACUUCGUGAGCUUUAGAUUCUUUUGACGAGAUGGAUACAUAUUCAGAGUCUCAGUAAAACCUUAUUAAUCCAAUUAAUCCAGGACUAUAUAGUGAUUAAGUCAAUUAAUGAGGACUAUUUAAACUCGUAGACAGCAGUUUAUGGAGGUCAUGACAAGUCUGCAGGGCAUGGGAGGCAACUGUUCGUCGAGUGCGCCAAGGAAUCUAGCUAGGUCUGCCUCGCGCUGGAGGUAUGUUUGAUGGGCAAGCGAGUGGUAGUUUAUGCAUUUCUUUCUAACCCCAACUUCGUGAACUUAAGUUACUGAAAGGUGAAUGUGAAGUAUUCGAAAAUGAGGGUUUACAAGCAUACAAGAACAAGAAUCAAAGUGUACUCGUUACCAUCGUCAACACCAUUGAUUUAAACCACAGUGAA